UGGGGAAUAUUGGACAAUGGGGGCAACCCUGAUCCAGCAAUGCCGCGUGUGUGAAGAAGGCCUGCGGGUUGUAAAGCACUUUCAGUAGGGAAGAAAAGCCUGGGGCUAAUACCCUCGGGUUUUGACGUUACCUAAAGAAGAAGCACCGGCUAACUCCGUGCCAGCAGCCGCGGUAAUACGGAGGGUGCGAGCGUUAAUCGGAAUUACUGGGCGUAAAGCGCACGUAGGUGGUUGGGUAAGUCGGAUGUGAAAGCCCUGGGCUUAACCUGGGAACUGCAUUCGAUACUGCCCGGCUAGAGUAUGGGAGAGGGAGGCGGAAUUUCCGGUGUAGCGGUGAAAUGCGUAGAUAUCGGAAGGAACACCAAUGGCGAAGGCAGCUUCCUGGCCCAAUACUGACACUGAGGUGCGAAAGCGUGGGGAGCAAACAGGAUUAGAUACCCCCGUAGUCC
rnacentral:rRNA from 1 species